UACACCAGUUGUCCAGUUCAGUCGUGUCA
rnacentral:piRNA from 1 species